GAGUUUGAUCCUGGCUCAGGAUGAACGCUAGCGGCAGGCUUAACACAUGCAAGUCGAGGGGCAGCGAGGGUAGCAAUACCUGUCGGCGACCGGCGCAAGGGUGCGUAACGCGUGAGCAACAUGCCCGUAUCAGGGGGAUAAUCCAGGGAAACUUGGUCUAAUACCGCAUAAUAAUCAUUUGGGGCAUCUUGGAUGAUUUAAAAUUUCGAUGGAUACGGAUUGGCUCGCGUGACAUUAGCUGGAUGGAGAGGUAACGGCUCACCAUGGCUACGAUGUCUAGGGGUUCUGAGAGGAAGGUCCCCCACACUGGAACUGAGACACGGUCCAGACUCCUACGGGAGGCAGCAGUGAGGAAUAUUGGACAAUGGAUGGAAAUCUGAUCCAGCCAUGCCGCGUGCAGGAAGACGGCCCUAUGGGUUGUAAACUGCUUUUGUAUGGGAGCAAUAAGGGCUACGUGUAGCCUGAUGAGAGUACCAUACGAAUAAGGACCGGCUAACUCCGUGCCAGCAGCCGCGGUAAUACGGAGGGUCCGAGCGUUAUCCGGAUUUAUUGGGUUUAAAGGGUGCGUAGGCGGUUUUAUAAGUCAGCGGUGAAAUUUUCCGGCUCAACCGGGAUACUGCCGUUGAUACUGUAAGGCUAGGAUAUGGUUGCUGUGGGUGGAAUGUGUGGUGUAGCGGUGAAAUGCUUAGAGAUCACACAGAAUAUCGAUUGCGAAGGCAGCUCACAAAGCCAUUAUUGACGCUGAGGCACGAAAGUGUGGGGAUCAAACAGGAUUAGAUACCCUGGUAGUCCACACUGUAAACGAUGAUAACUCGCUGUCGGCGAUAUAAAGUCGGUGGCCAAGCGAAAGCGAUAAGUUAUCCACCUGGGGAGUACGACCGCAAGGUUGAAACUCAAAGGAAUUGACGGGGGCCCGCACAAGCGGA
rnacentral:rRNA from 1 species